AUUGAACGCUGGCGGGAGGCCUAACACAUGAAAGUCGAACGAGUGGCGGACGGGUGAGUAAUGUCUGGGAAAAUGCCUGAUGGAGGGGGAUAACUACUGGAAACGGUAGCUAAUACCGCCUACCAUCGGAUGUGCCCAUGUGGGAUUAGAUAGUAGGUGGGGUAAAGGCUCACCUAGGCGACGAUCCCUAGAUGGUCUGAGCGGAUGACCAGCCACACUGGGACUGAGACACGGUCCAGACUCCGACGGGAGGCAGCAGUGGGGAAUAUUGCACAAUGGGCGCAAGCCUGAUGCAGCCAUGCCGCGUGUAUGAAGAAGGCCUUCGGGUUGUAAAGUACUUUCAGCGGGGAGGCGUUACCCGCAGAAGAAGCACCGGCUAACUCCGUGCCAGCAGCCGCGGUAAUUC
rnacentral:rRNA from 1 species